rnacentral:rRNA from 1 species
UGGGGAAUUUUGGCCCUUGGGGGGAAACCCUGAAUCCAGCCAUUCCGCGUGUGUGAAGAAGGCCUUCGGGUUGUAAACUGCUUUUGGACGGAACGAAAAGCCAUUUCCUAAUACGGGGUGGUCAUGACGGUACCGUCAGAAUAAGCACCGGCUAACUACGUGC